rnacentral:rRNA from 1 species
UACGAAGGGUGCAAGCGUUACUCGGAAUCACUGGGCGUAAAGGGUGCGUAGGCGGGUCUUAAGUCAGGGGUGAAAUCCUGGAGCUCAACUCCAGAACUGCCUUUGAUACUGAGGAUCUUGAGUUCGGGAGAGGUGAGUGGAACUGCGAGUGUAGAGGUGAAAUUCGUAGAUAUUCGCAAGAACACCAGUGGCGAAGGCGGCUCACUGGCCCGAUACUGACGCUGAGGCACGAAAGCGUGGGGAGCAAACAGG